rnacentral:rRNA from 1 species
GACGAACCGUGCGAACGUUGUUCGGAAUCACUGGGCAUAAAGGGCGCGUAGGCGGCCUGUCAAGUCAGGGGUGAAAUCCGGCAGCUCAACUGUCGAAGUGCCUUUGAUACUGACGGGCUCGAGGGAGGUAGGGGCGUGCGGAACUUCCGGUGGAGCGGUGAAAUGCGUUGAUAUCGGAAGGAACGCCGGUGGCGAAGGCGAGGCGCUGGACCCUUUCUGACGCUGAGGCGCGAAAGCCAGGGGAGCAAACGGG